AUGAAGACAGCUAUUCAUGCUUUAUUUAUUUUCUUCUGGCUACAGAUGGACUGGAAGAGCCAAGGUGAGCAGGUGGAACAGCUCCCUUCCUCCCUGAUUGUCCAGGAGGGAGCCAGUGUUCUGAUCAACUGCUCCUACACAGACAGUGCCUCUGUCUACUUCCCUUGGUAUAAGCAAGAGCCUGGGAAGCGUCUUCAGUUCAUCAUAGACAUCCGUUCAAAUAUGGAAAGAAAGCAGACUCAAAGACUCACCCUUUUAUUUGAUAAGAAAACCAAACACCUUUCCCUGCACAUUACAGCCACUCAGCCUGGAGACUCAGCCAUCUACUUCUGCUCAGCAAGUA